rnacentral:tRNA from 1 species
GGUGGGGUGGCCGAGCGGUUUAAGGCAGCAGUCUUGAAAACUGCCAUAUCUGAAAGGGUAUCGCGAGUUCGAAUCUCGCCCCCACCGCCA